rnacentral:misc_RNA from 1 species
GUGAAUCAUCGAAUUUUUGAACGCAAAUUGCACUCUCCUCGAAGAGUAUGCCUGUUUGAGGGUCAGCCUCUAAAAAAUCGACAUCGUUGCUGUUUCGCGGUGACGUUCGUCGGAAAUUGGGUCAUCUUAAAUCCUUUUGGUUUUAAGCGACUUAAAACUUUCUUUUUGGUUCCUUGACCGUCUCUAUUAUUUAUUUCUUUACACGUUUAAGGUAUCGAUUUUUAGUAGACGUGACCAUGAUACCGUAUC